rnacentral:rRNA from 1 species
CGAUGGACGGGCCGGGGGGCGCGGGAAAUCGGUGGGUGUGUGUGUGGGCCGGAAUUGUUGGGGUGAAAGGGCUGUUGGGCGGUGGUUCGCGUCGGCCGGGAAAACCUGCAGUUGAACGGGGGUCUUGCGGGCGGUACGGGUAUCACUGGAGUUCGGGCGGGGAGACUGGAAUGCCUGGUGUAGCGGUGAAAUGCGCAGAUAUCAGGAGGAACACCGGUGGCGAAGGCGGGUCUCUGGGCCGAUACUGACGCUGAGGAGCGAAAGCGUGGGGAGCGAACAGGAUUAGAUACCCCUGUAGUC